CAUGGAGGAGACAGAGCAGAGUAAAGCUGACAUCAUGUUGAGAUAUCUCCUGCUCUCUGCACUGCUUCUCUGGGCCCCAGGUGUAGGCUCGGCCUACGUGGAGCAGCUGCCCUUCCUCACAGGGGUUCUAGGAGAAUCCCAAACUCUGCAGUGUACAUUGAAAGAAACCAGCCACUACUGGAUGUACUGGUACUUGCAGCAGGAGGCAGAGGAGCUAGGGCAGCUCUUCUAUUCUUCAGGAGAUGGAUCUGGGACCAACUUCACAGCUAAGCCCAUGUCAGCCUGGAGGAAGAACAACAAUUGGCAUCUACAAUGGAAAAAGCUUUCACGGUCAGACUCAGCUGUGUAUUACUGCGCCUGCAGCACUGCACAGUGACACAGAGCCCUGGGACAGCCAGCAAAAACCCAGAGAGACAGAGACAGGGGAGGAGAUAGGGAAGCUGUGUGCGCCUAGG